UUUCUUUCAUGGCACCUUUUUUU
rnacentral:piRNA from 1 species